rnacentral:rRNA from 1 species
CGGGGUGCCUAUACUUGCAAGGUCGAGCGGACAGAUGGGAGCUUGCUCCCUGAUGUUAGCGGCGGACGGGUGAGUAUCACGUGGGUAACCUGCCUGUAAGACUGGGAUAACUCCGGGAAACCGGGGCUAAUACCGGAUGGUUGUCUGAACCGCAUGGUUCAGACAUAAAAGGUGGCUUCGGCUACCACUUACAGAUGGACCCGCGGCGCAUUAGCUAGUUGGUGAGGUAACGGCUCACCAAGGCGACGAUGCGUAGCCGACCUGAGAGGGUGAUCGGCCACACUGGGACUGAGACACGGCCCAGACUCCUACGGGAGGCAGCAGUAGGGAAUCUUCCGCAAUGGACGAAAGUCUGACGGAGCAACGCCGCGUGAGUGAUGAAGGUUUUCGGAUCGUAAAGCUCUGUUGUUAGGGAAGAACAAGUGCCGUUCAAAUAGGGCGGCACCUUGACGGUACCUAACCAGAAAGCCACGGCUAACUACGUGCCAGCAGCCGCGGUAAUACGUAGGUGGCAAGCGUUGUCCGGAAUUAUUGGGCGUAAAGGGCUCGCAGGCGGUUUCUUAAGUCUGAUGUGAAAGCCCCCGGCUCAACCGGGGAGGGUCAUUGGAAACUGGGGAACUUGAGUGCAGAAGAGGAGAGUGGAAUUCCACGUGUAGCGGUGAAAUGCGUAGAGAUGUGGAGGAACACCAGUGGCGAAGGCGACUCUCUGGUCUGUAACUGACGCUGAGGAGCGAAAGCGUGGGGAGCGAACAGGAUUAGAUACCCUGGGUAGUCCACGCCGUAAACGAUGAGUGCUAAAUGGUUAGGGGG